CCUUCUGCUCCCACUUGGGCUGGGGCGCGCUCUAGCAUCUCACUGAAUCGCGGCCGCGGGAAGGGCCCGGCGCUGCCUUCCGGGCACACAGACGUCCAUCCUUCCCUCCCUGGCUCGCUCACCAGAAGAGGCAACCCUGGAGCCCAAAAAGGGAUGGCACCCCCACCCCGACCGGGGUGUUCACUCCCGUCUCCCCGGCUUCCAAGAGGUUGCUGAGAAGGGGCACUGGAAGUGAAGGGGAGGGGACACCUGGGUCGGGGGCAGUCCCUGAUGGAAAGGGAGGCCCAAGAGGGGGCCACAGCAGAGGAGGAGAGGUCCACACUGAAGACCAAGGAGGAAAAAGAAGAAUUAUGCCCGAGAAGAGAAACAAAUCUAGGUUCAGGUCACUUGAAGAAGGGCUGUCGCGGAACCCCCAGGCGAAGAUGCGGAAGGUACUAGGCUGGGAGGGGACUGUCCCUCAGCGCCCCACCCGAUGCACGCGUUCACGCCGUCAGUGGACCCGGAACUGGUGAGGACCGCGGACCAACCCGGCCCAGCCCGGCCCAGCCCAGCCCAACUCCAAGAGAGAGCUCCGCGAGUGGAACCUGACAUGGAAUCCCAGCGCUGCCGCCUGCUACCGGUGGGGCCCCGUGGGACCUGGAGCCCAGCACUGCACCUGAACCUGGUCUCCAGAAUCAAAGAGCUUUGGGCUGCACCCUUUUAUUGAGCACCUAUUAUAUACCAGGCCUUGUUUUAGGCACUAAAAGAUGAUAGAGGUGAAUAAGACAUAGAUUGCUGUCCUACCUGCGACAGGGUAGUUAUGAUGACACAGGUGAAGAGAUUAGAAAUGUGGGCUCAGUAAAUACUAGGUCAUAUGCAACCUUCUACAUUUUCUACAGAGAUUCAGCUCUAUGGGACUGCCUUCCUCCACACAGUAGCUCAGAAUUUUUUUUCCCUUCUUUUUCCUCUCUUCAUUCAACAAAUAUUUGUUGAGCUUGGUUUAGAAUGCAGGAGACCUGGAAAGUAAAUCCUGCUAGUAAUACCAACUCUCCCUUUCUUGCCCUCUUUGGAAUCAAAUCAGGUCACCUCUGAGGGGACAGUAACCGCAUAAAUGAGUUCAUAAAGUUUGCAAAAUGUGUAAAGCCACGGACAUAUAAAGAAUGGUAUAGAUGGGAUUAUAAGGGUUCAGAGAAGGGGUUAGGGUUGUGGCUCAGUGAUGCACCAUUCACCUAGCACAUUUGAGGUCCUGGGUUCGAUCCACAACACCACAUAUAAAUAAGUAAAAUAAAGGUAUGUGUCCAACUACAACUAAAAAGUAAGUAUUAAAAGAAAGAGAGUUCAGAGAAGGGACGGGCACUUAGUAAGUUGUUACCAGUAUUUAUCAAGCACCUAUGUGCCAGGCUCCAUGCUAGGCUCUGGUCAUACAGUCGGGAACAAAACAGAUUGCUCUGGUGUGGAGCUUUUAUUGGGGGGUUGCCACUGGGAUUCAACUCAGAGCCUCCUGCAUUCUGGGCUUGCUCUUCCACUGACCUAUGUCCCCAGCCCCUGGCAUGGAGUUUGAAUGCUGACUGGGGGACAGUCAGCUACCAAGAACAGAUAAUGUCCAGGAUGGUUAGAGAUGUGGAGAAAAAUCAGUGAGAGAGCAGGUAGGCAGGCUAGCACAGUGUGGCUGUUUGUGGGGUGGCCAAGGAGGGUCUGACUUAGGAAGUAACCCAUUGAAAGGAAGGGCCAUGUGACUAGUAGAGGCGCACAUACCCUGUAAGGAGGCCAGAGGACAGCCUUGGUCUGGUAAGCAGAGGGUGGCAGGAGCUCGAACGCAGAGCAGUGACCAGUUCUGACCUGGGCUCCAAAAGGAUCGUGCAGCUGCGGUGUUCUGGAUGGACUGUAAGGGGGACUGGGGCCUGAGCAAGCUAUUUCUAUAGUGUAGACAUUUAUUUUAAAUGUCUACCUAUAUAAUAGACGCUGUGAAGCAUUUUACAAAUAACAAUUCAUUGAAUCCUAACAGAGGCCCUCUGAAAAGAAGCUUGCUCAAGGUCAUGCAGCAGAGAGAUGAUGGUGGCUUCAACCAGGGGAGUAGCAUUGGAAGAGGCAAGAAGCCUCCCCCUCCAAAGUAUUCUAGAUGGUUGCUGAUGUAUUGGUGAUAACUGAGAAGUAGGAAGAAGUCCAGGAGGAUGCUAAGUUUUUAAGCUGAAUCAACCCUAGAAAGAUUUGCCAUUUACUGAAUGGAGACUGUAGAGGGAACAAAGUUUUUUCGGGGAAGAGGGAGUAUGAGUUCAACUCAAGCAAGUUAUUUUUAAUAUUUUUUAGUUGUUGAUGGACCUUUAUUUUAUUUAUUUUGUAUGUGUGCUGAGAAUCGAACUCAGUGCCUCACACAUGCUAGGCAAGCGCUGUAUGAUUGAGCCACAACCCCCAGCCCUGGAGCAAGUUAUUUUGGAGAUGACUAUUGGAGGCGUCAGUGGAGAUAUCCUGUAAGUGACCAGAUAUGGAAGUCUGGAGUUGAGGAAGCAGUCAGAGCUAGGGUUAAACUGGAAAGAACCAGCCAGUAAAUGACAUUUAAAGGUAUUUAAAAGCACAAGAUAGCUGGAUGAGUUCACAUAGGGAAAGAAUGUAGACAGAAGAGACCAAAAGAUAGACAAAAAAAAAAAAAUUGUCCCUGGGGCAGAGUAGAGAGAACCAAGAGAAAGUAGACCCCAUCCCAGAAGGAAAAGUAGGCCCAAGGGAAAGUUUUCUGAAAUUAGUUUCAAUUAUUUAAGAAACAAGAAGAAAAUGGGAUCAAAAGGAAGCAUUGUGGUUCAGAGUUGGUUGUGUGUAGUUUCUCACUUAGUCCUUAUGACCCUAAGGGGACAUUACGUUAUUAUUCCCAUUCUACAGAUGAGGAAAAUGAGGCACAGAGAUUACAUAACUUGUCCCAGAUCACACAGCUAAUGAGUUCAGUGCUAGACAAUCUGGGAGUGGAAUCCACACUCAGGUCUGAUCAUGUUGCUUUCCUGUUCAAAAACUUGAAAGUUUAGGUUUACCUUAUGAGAGGGCUCAGCACCCAACACCACCUCUGCCCACGAGGCCCCAUUUCUACUUCUUUUGUUGCCUCUGCUCUUUUUUCCUCUACUAACCAGCGUCCUCAGCUUCAUGUAGUUCUGUUCCCUUAUUCUAUCUACAUGGGGUCAUCCUGGUAGCUUUGUCCCUCCUUUGUUCUCUGCAUUGCCUUCUAUUAAAUGACAAUUUCAUGUGUUUCAUGGUUGAGAUUCCCAAGCCAAAUCUGGUUGGCAUAGCUCAUCAUAUUGACAGCUCAGUGACAGGUCAUGGGUCCUUCUACAGAUUGGCUGCCUAUAGGUCAGAUCCUCACCGAGACCCACCAGCUAUUGCAGUGAGCACGGGAACCUGUGGCAUUGAACAUGGCUGCAUUGAAAAGGGGAUGUGGGGUGGUGUGGGCGCGAUAAUAUUUUGAAUACUGUUUCCUCCCUCUUUAAAAAACCCAAACCCCCUUAAAACUCAUCCUGUCAUAUGGUUCCACCUGCCCCUCUGCCUUGCUUGAUGACUUCAGCAUCUAUAAGCUGAACUCAUCAGAAAUAUUUUUUAAAUUUUUUUAGUUGUACUUGGACACAAUAUCUUUAUUUUUAUGUGGUGCUGAGGAUCGAACCCAGUGCCUCACAUGUGGGAGGCAAGCGCUCCACCACUGAGCCACCACCAGCCCCUCACCAGAAAUCUUAUUGACUUCUCACUGAUUUCUUCCCUACCAGUGGGUCUCCUUCCCCUCUUCCUGGGUCCCCACUCCCAUGGGCUCACCCUCACCGAUAAUUACACUGUCUCAGAAAACAAUCCCAAAGGCCUCAAAUCUGACCUUAAUGUCCUUGCUAAAGAAUCAACAUAGGACUGUUUCUUCAGCUGCCUCAAGACCUGUUAACCUGUGGCCCUGCCGGACUUCACCUUCCCUUUUGGGUUUAUUGGGUCCUCCCUAAGUAUUCAAUGAUCGUUAUAUUCACUUCCUUGCAAAUAGCCAUAAACUCUUUACCCACUCCCUUUUCUACUAACUUGCCCAACCCUAGAGAAGACCAGGUAUUCCCCGAUUUCCCCCCAAAUCAGCACAUCUCAACAUUUCAAUAAAAUUAUAAGUAACUGCUGCCACAUAA